CCAAACCUUUUUUUCUUAUUAAACAUGCCCUUAAAUUAUUGAAAAAUUAUCCACUUUCUGGCUAAAAAUGGAUGGCAAAGGGAAGAAGUGACAAACCACUUUGAAUACUGCACAUUUCAUGCUUUGACUCAUGCAGAAAGAUGCCCUUUGCCAUGUACAAUCAGUGCAAAUCUAGCACACAAUGAAAACAUUUCCAAAACACAACCAUUAAGAUCUAAUCAAAAUUUCUGAGGACAGCAAAUCAUAUGCCAACAUCAUGGAAGGGAUGUGCAAAAACAGAGGACAGGAUCAAGAGUUACAUUUUGCAAUUACACAACCUGCAAUUCAGCUCUUUAACAUUUCCUAAUAAUCCCAGAAAUAGGAAGAAUAUCAGAAGAAGAAAGGCACAACCAGUAGGAAUACGAGUAAGAGCAUGCAUCCAAAUCAGCCUAAAAAACAAACAGAAGCCUAAGUUUGGGCUCUCAAAAAUAGCAGUCUUGAAUUUCCUGGUAAAGCAAACAAAAAAAAAAAAAGGUCUCUGAAAUGUGUUUCCCAUGAUUAUAUUUCCGUAAACUGCAACUUGCUUCUAUCCAUAGCACAGGAAGUUGUCUUGAUACCUUUUAUUCUCAGCCCCUUGAACGAUGAGGGCUUGUUUUUCUUCUUCAAGAUCUGGCCUUUCUUUUGCAACUACGAUUCCAAGAAGCUGAUCCUGCAUUCCUUCUGAAGUUAUCAUGAAGUUCAAUAAUGUUACCUGUUAGAAGAUAUUUUUUGAAAGAUAGCACAGUUAUGGUCAGAUGCAAUUAAAAUGCUUCUUCCUUUACAAGAUGAGGGGAGAAAAAAACCCAAAACAUAGCAGCAGAUGAAAUGACGAGCUGCACAAAAGUGAUUAUGCUAUCCAACAAUUUCUGAAAGAGAUACCUAACUAACAUGUGUCUGCACAAUCACGAGAAGAAUUUAGCCAUUGAAUGGAAUAGGAAUAACCAGAGCCAUGAGGUAUAAAGUUACUGGCAAUUGCUUUAGAGAAGAAAAGGAACCAAAGGACUCCAUGCUUUACACAGCAAAUAACAAGGCCAGCAAAAGUUUUGGUUUUACCUGAAACCAGUCUAGCGUGCAGCAGUUGACAAGAGCUGGAAAUUUACGAAGACGAUUACGGAAAGCAUCUCCAAUGGGACUCAUUGCCAGUACUAUAUGAAGCUGAUUUCGACAGCGAUCAACAAACAUGUUAAAAAGAGCUAUAGGACUGCCAUCUGUCUGUUUGGUCCUGUCCCGUUGGCGAUCUACUCGACACAUUUGUUCACAAAUUUCUUGUUUUUCAUCCACUGCAAAGAGGUUUGGCACUUCACCUGCAUUUAAUAAGUUGUUAAUGUCUUCUAAGAAUGAUUCCUUUUUUAUCUGUGUAUCUGUGAACAAGAAAACUCCCUGCAUUUCCCCUUCAGUAGAUUUUCUUAGU